CUUUCUCUGAGCCCGGUAACAGCUGUGCUAUAUUGCCUCGGUAUUAUUCUCGUGUCCCACCGCUCAAUACAUGUAUGCUCGAUUGCUUUAUAUAUUUAGAUAUGUAGUAUAUGUUUCAGUCGAUAACUUGCCUAUCAUACUAAAAGGACAGACAGCAAAUGGAGUAAGAUAAAGUUUCAAGUUAGAAAUUAAUCAAAUGCCAACACCACAUUUAACAUUAUGACGUCACUAUACGGUGUCAUAUUGGCCGUUACCGCCUUCAUCAGCCUUGCAAUGGCCAAUCAUUGUGACGUCACAGACACUCUGAAUAACCAAUGGGUCAACGUGGACCAAAUGAAAAAUGACCACGACCCAAGGUAUCUGUCAGAGACUCAAGUUAGUAGCCAGGAAGACUGCCAGAAAGCGUGUUGUCUAAAUGACGCAUGUACCGUGGUGAUAUAUGAUGCAAAGAUAAAUCAAUCGAGCACGAACUGCGUCCUUUUGACAUGUUCGUCGGAUCAGAAAUGUGUAUUUGAGGAUAAAGACGACAAGUGCUACAGACAAACAAGGAAGCGCUGCUUUGCCAGCACCUUCUGCUGUUGCAUCACAAACAGCAACAACAACGACAACAACGACAACUGUAGCACAGAAUGCAAGGCUAACAAAAGCAGGGACUUUGGCGUCAUCAUUGACAAAUGCAUCAUCAACAGUUGCUUCGCCUUCAUCAAAUGGUCACAAAACAUCAACAACAACAACACCCUCUCUUUCGUCAACUUUAUCUUUGACAACAACCAAAAGUAGUUCAUUAAACUCAACAGCUCAAAAGUCGUUGACACCCCCAACAGAAUCUGGUUUAGUACAGGAACAAAAUGCUUCUAAUAUCAACGUACAAAACCGAACUACUUCAGUCAAUGUUGAUGAUCUCAACAAUCCAAGCAAUGAUUCCAAUACCGAGGAGGCUGUUCAAAACACCAAUUUAACAAUGUCAAAAUUGCUGUCCGAUGAAGAUAUAAGUCGGCUUUUAAAUAUCACAGAGCCUUCCAUUGAAGUCAAUAAUCUCCAAAUCAAACCCCCUCCAACAACAACACAACCGUUUGUUAGUUUACUCUCUUCCUCAACUCCAUCAUCAUCAUCAUCAUCAUCAUCAUCAUCAUCAUCAUCAUCAUCAUCAUCAAAAACUCCUCCACCAUCACUAACAACAACAUCAUCAUCAUCAUCACCACAACCACCACCACCAUCAUCAUCAUCAUCAUCAUCAUCAUCAUCAUCAUCAUCAUCAUCAUCAUCAAAAACUCCACCACCAUCACUAACAACAACAUCGUCAUCAUCACCACCACCACCACCACCACCAAUAACAUCAUCAUCAUCAUCAUCAUCAUCAUCAUCAUCCAUGACAACGACAUCAACAAUAAAGCUAGCAACAACAAUAUCGACCAUUUCGACGAAUCCGUCUGGACUGCAUUUAAUGAAUACAUCCACAGAUGUGACCAACAUGAAAUCAAACAAUACAAAACAACAUAAUUUUACGGAAGGUGUUAUGAAAAACGUUACGAACAGUCGCCUUGACAACGUAGAGGAACAGACGGCUCCAUCCUCCGCCAUGAUAGGUGGACUGAUAGCCUUAGUGUGUUUUGGAUUCUUUUUCGUACUUGCCAUUGUUGCCAUUUUUGGCAAGAAAUUGUUUGAAACUUGGCAACGGAGACAUUAUUCUCGCAUUGAUUACCUUGUAAAUGGCAUGUACAACUGAGGGAUUUUAUAAUAGUUAAAGACAUGCAAAAAAAUCGUGAGCAAUAAUAAACAUUGAUAUUUAAUCUUCAUGUAAACAUGUUAUUGCAUGGUAUUUCGGUUUUUUUCUCGCACCAAGUGUUAAAAGUAUUUACAUCUUUUACUGUUUUUUUUUUGUAGAAUUGCAUAACUUUAUUUUUAUUAUGACUUUCUCGUGCAUCACUGACAAUCAAACACAGUUGUUCGACGCUGAUCUCCUAAAAGAAUGUUAUUUCGCUAAUAUCAAAUAUUGUUUUGAUUGUCACUAUAAUGCUCAUCGCCCUGUUGCAUCGCGUGUAUAGGUUAUCAAUCGACUUCAGUUUUGAAGAGUAGUUUAACUAACAGUCUCCAAAAUAACUAUCUCUUUAACAACAAGUGCG
rnacentral:sRNA from 1 species